CUUCAAUAAAUACAAGAAGUGCUUCAACUGAUAAUGCAAAGCAAUGAAAAUGUGUACCAUUCGUCAGCGUCUUUACGCCACGCCGGUCGUUCGUCGGCGUCUUUACAGUAAAGGUUGUCGUUCGUCGGCGUCUUUACAGUAAAGGUUGUCGUUCGUCGGCGUCUUUACAGUAAAGGUUGUCGUUCGUCGGCGUCUUUACAGUAAGGCUGCCGUUCGUCGGCGUCUUUACAGUAAGGCUGUCGUUCGUCGGCGUCUUUACAGUAAGGCUGCCUUUCGUCGGCGUAUUUACAGUAAGGUUGUCGUUCGUCGGCGUCUUUACAGUAAAGGUUGUCGUUCGUCGGCGUCUUUACAGUAAGGCUGUCGUUCGUCGGCGUCUUUACAGUAAAGGUUGUCGUUCGUCGGCGUCUUUACAGUAAGGCUGUCGUUCGUCGGCGUCUUUACAGUAAGGCUGUCGUUCGUCGGCGUCUUUACAGUAAAGGUUGUCGUUCGUCGGCGUCUUUACAGUAAGGCUGUCGUUCGUCGGCGUCUUUACAGUAAAGGUUGUCGUUCGUCGGCGUCUUUACAGUAAAGGUUGUCGUUCGUCGGCGUCUUUACAGUAAAGGUUGUCGUUCAUCGGCGUCUUUACAGUAAAGGUUGUCGUUCGUCAGUGUCUUUACAGGAAGCUGGACAUUUGUCAGCGUUUUUAACAUUGCGCUAAUCAUUUGUUAGUGUUUUUUUCAGAACAGUUAAUGUGCUACUUCAGAAUGUGUGAAAUCAUUCACUUUCUGUAGAAAUCUCUGGUGAAAUGCUAGAACAUACAAAAUGAACAGUGGUAGUCCAUAUCUGGCUUCAUAUGUAUGCAAAUUACACUGGAACUAUCUUGGAGCUAACAUAACACUGGUUAGCUGUUAGCACAAAACAGGUUUGCUUGUGCAAACAGACGUAGGCUGCCUUCAAAUCCUAUCGGAAAUCUCUUCCUGAGUGUGCAGAGAGCUCUGUGUCUCCGAACGCCGUGCAUGCACGAUACUGCUCAUCCUAAGCACACAGUAGCCCAAGAGCUCAACUAUACUGAAUAAAACAUUGAACACAAUAUAUUUUGUCACCAUGUUACACAUUUAAUACAUCUGUUACUAACAGACUCGUAGUAUACUUUUCCAGAUUAACAAAGUAAUAAUGGAACAAUUUAUCAAUUAUACAAAUAGUAGUUAGUUGCGGCACUGAUGAAAAUAAAUAAUUUGCAGGAAUGAUCGUGAUCGGAAGCUUUUUUUGGUCCGACUACACAACCGUUCGUUCUGGUCUACUAAUCUGACUGGACUAGAGGUGUUCCAAGAGUGCUGAUGUUUAGAACAACAGUCCUGCUACAGUACGUUUCACUGUUUGUCUGUGUUCACUACAUAAAAUUCCAGCUCUAGCAAUAGUUCACUGCAUUGAAACCGUUACUACACUUUCUAUGCGCUGUCAAUCAGUCUGUGUGGUGGCAUGGCAACGCCCAACACACUACCCCAGCUUUGGCUUCUUUGGGAAUUAUUUUGACGGAGCACAGAAAAACUAAAUAUUUGGCCAUAUUGUUAAUAUUAACUUGAAUUACUUGAUAUUAAUUUCUUGUUUAUAGAACUGUUGUAUAAAAGCAAUAUCACAAGACUCCAUUACUAAAGAAAAGG
ensembl:lncRNA